AAAUACAUUAUGAUGCUAUUCAUCUUAUGCUAAUUUACAGCUAGUUCUUCAGGCUUCCAUCAUGUUGUCGAUGUUAUGCAGCUUUUCUUCUAACAAAUUAUUCCAAUACUGUUCAUCACCUUCUACUAGCUCCGCAUCUCUUUCUCUAUCUUCUUUCACCUUGUAAUAUAUUUCCGCUGUUUCUUCUUUGAAAUUUUGGGGCUUCCAAUAAGGCUGAUGACUGAUUCUUGUCUUGCUGUAAAUAUACAUCUCUUCUUCUUCUGCUACUAGUACCAUAUCAUACCUAAAAUCUUCAAACUCAUCUAAAGCAAACAUUUGGAUCCCCCUAAAUUUUAAAAUAUCUUUGUAUGAAGGAGUACACCUAUGUGAGGAGAUAGGGUUUAGUCUAAAGGACUCUUUAUUGAUCAUGGCUAUAUGCCUAG
rnacentral:lncRNA from 1 species